CCUUCCUACGGGACGCAGCAGUGGGGAAUAUUGCACAAUGAGGGAAACCCUGAUGCAGCGACGCCGCGUGAGUGAAGAAGUAAUUCGUUACGUAAAGCUCUAUCAGCAGGGAAGAAAAUGACGGUACCUGAGUAAGAAGCCCCGGCUAACUACGUGCCAGCAGCCGCGGUAAUACGUAGGGGGUAAGCGUUAUCCGGAUUUACUGGGUGUAAAGGGAGCGUAGACGGUGCGCCAAGUCUGGAGUGAAAU
rnacentral:rRNA from 1 species